rnacentral:rRNA from 1 species
AUGCUGGCUACUCCUCGUGGAAGGUUCCACCCGGGCGCUGCACUCCGCCACCAAUAUCAUCGACCGAGCUCGGCCAAGGUCCGGGCGUCCUCCAUCCUUCCACAGAGCAGAGCAGCGGCCAGCAUGGCGGGGCGGCUUGCCGCCGCGCCGGACGGGAGCGCCAACGCCAACGGCUCGGCGGCUCCCGACCGAGCGCGCGGCUUCUACCGCGACCGGAUCCUGCGGGUCGCCGUGUCCGGAGGGCUGAGAAGAUCGGCUCUCUUCGACCACUCCCAGUCCGGUCAUAGCGGAUCCGGCUACUCCAACCACUCCGGCGCGUCGAAUUCGUACCCGUCCAACAACUCCGGCAUCUCUGCUGCUGAACCGGACUUCGGCGCCCAUGAGCUCACGGUGAUCGCCAUCCAAAUGGUCAGUGACGGUUACGCCCAGCGCAUGGUCCGAGAAUUCUGCGGCGGCGGCGGCGGCCUGGAGAAUUGGUUCUUGGAGCUUGACGUGGGCUGGGUUCGCCAGAUCCACAACAAGACUGACUUAUGUCAGCAGCUCCAGCUUCAACUCAAAUCGCCGUCAUGGCUCCAAGACUUUGUCGAGAGGUGGAUUCGAGCUCUCAUGGUAACAAUCUCCAGCAUCGUUGAGGCCCUCGACAAAGUUCAGACGUUGUUGCUCGCAAGGUUUGGCAAAGCAAGCAUCUCGGAGAUGCUCGUCUUUGUCGACGCCGUCAUCCCACUGCUCAAGGCGGGGAAGCUACGGGCCGUGCUAGACAUGUAUAUUUGUGUCUGCAAUGCGUCGUACAUGUUCACUCUGGAUGUGUUCUCUCUGGAAGCCCAGAUCAUAUUCGACGAGAUACGCCGCUCGUUGGGGACAGAAAGAAACAAGCUAUGUGAUGCCAUAUCCACCACAGUGGAGGAGGUGAGGGCACUCAUGGAGGACGAUGACUCGUGGGCUAUCGAGUUUCCUCAAGGAGGAGCCGGGGUUCACCGGAACACCCGGUUGAUGGUGGGUUACAUCGUGUCUAUGACGGAUGCAUUGGUGUCGACACGGAAGUCCGCACCAAGCCGCAACACUGGAAAUCUUCAUGGCCUGAUAGAUGACACCAUCAAACAUUUGAAGGAUCUGCUUCCGAGAAAGUCAGAGCUGUGCUUGGAUGCAGGCAUGAGGUACCUAUUCCUGCUCAACAAUUCCUAUUUCAUAGCCACCAGGGACUUUAUUCGUGGGCCAUACUGUGGAGACUCUCAACACCACCAGGGACUUGAACUUACACUUGAGUGCAAAGAUCACAUGGACAGCUAUCUCGAUGUUUCGUGGGCUCAUGUGAUAUCCUCCAUAUCGAAAUCGAAUCCUCCUGGACCGCUGCGUCGUUGGAUGACCAACACCUCUUCGCUGGCUAAAUUCGAGUCAGCGUUUCAUCAAACCUACCAAGCUCAGAAGCUCUGGAAGGUUCCGGACCCUCAGCUCAAAGAUGCGCUACGAAGGGCUAUCAUCGAGAGAGUCAUCUCAAGUUACAACGACUAUCUGAAGAAGCAUCCUGAGCUAGCGGAGCACGCUAGCCGCGGAAACAGCACCCCCGCCGUCUUGGAAGAGAUGUUGGGACAGCUAUUUGAAGGCUGA